GGGCCCGCACAAGCGGUGGAGCAUGUGGUUUAAUUCGAUGAUACGCGAGGAACCUUACCAGGGCUUAAAUGUAGUGGGACAGGUCUAGAGAUAGACCCUUCUUCGGACUCAUUACAAGGUGCUGCAUGGUUGUCGUCAGCUCGUGCCGUGAGGUGUCAGGUUAAGUCCUAUAACGAGCGCAACCCCUAUCGUUAGUUGCCAGCGGUUCGGCCGGGGACUCUAGAGAAACUGCCAGCGUAAGCUGUGAGGAAGGUGGGGAUGACGUCAAAUCAUCACGGCCCUUACGUCCUGGGCUACACACGUGCUACAAUGGCCGGUACAGAGGGCAGCCACACCGCAAGGUGGAGCGAAUCCUUAAAACCGGUCUCAGUUCGGAUCGGGGUCUGCAACUCGGCCCCGUGAAGCUGGAAUC
rnacentral:rRNA from 1 species